ACUCCCAUCUAAAGCAGCAGGUCAGGAUACUGAUACAGAAAGAUUGAACAAGCUCGCAACUUUCCAGAGAAAGGCUCUUCAGCAUGCUUUACUUUUUCCAGCUGUUGAAAGAAUUGUGUAUAGUACAUGUUCAAUCAACCAAAUUGAGAAUGACGAUGUCAUCAAAUCUGUUCUGCCCAUAGCCGAAUCAAAUGGAUUUCAAUUGGCAAAACCCUUCUCCGAGUGGCAAUGUCGUGGUCUACCUGU